UGCCUUUACCUAUUAACCCUCACAGUUCCUUGAAUUCCUAAGGCAGGUGCAAUCUCUCAGCUUCACACAAUUGCCUAUACACAACAACACAUCCACUAACAAACACGCUAGAGCACAUAAAGGGAGACCUCUGAGCACACAAAGAUUGCAGACCAGUUUGGUAAACACCAUGAAAGCAGUGGCAACCCAGAGACACAGCGACAAGAGCCCCCUACUGAUACUGCUGCUGGAUACAACUGCAUUUCUUCCACAUCCUGCUUCACAGCUCCACCAGAUACUGCAACAAAAAGCAGUAAUCUCAAACAUCAGUGGCCACUGCAGCUUCAGAAGAUCCAAGACUCAUCCGUACGCUCAUCUAUAUUUAGCUUUAAACCAGACAAGCUGUGACAACAAGAGACCUUUGCUGUGUUCACUGCUCUUCUAAUAACCCUCUUUAGCAUUAGGGAAAGUGUCCAGUCACGGUAACAAAGGCACCGCUCAGCUGUGACAGACAGAACUUCCCAGCUGCUGAUUAUUCUGGAAAUGCUUGCCAGAAAGGGCAGAAAAAAAAAAGAGCAAAGCCCUUCAACUGAGCCACAUGCAGGUCAACGGCUGUUCUAACAUGCCUGAAACAAGCAGGAGGCGACCACGCUGCUCACUAGAAGAGCCGACUGAUCCGUGUAAGAAGUAACAUUACUCAUUUGAAAACCACAUUAACAAUUUCAGUUGAGUCAUUCGAUGUACACAGUCAUAAUUGCAGGGACGACGUGCGUUGUUUGUUCUCACGUUGGAGUCUCCUCCAUAGGGCAGAGCCACCUCUCGAGGUCACAUUUCUAUUGCUGCUCAUGCCGGGGGAGAACUGAUUUCUUCUGUUAAGAAAGUGAGGGACGUGCACUGCUAUUGACAGAGUAAUACGGCAUUUUGAAUCAAGUACUGCUGCAACUGCAUUUCUAUGGUUUGUGCAAAUGUAUUUAUGUGGUUUCCAUGGAGAUGGGAGCUGGGAAUGGGGGAUUAUGUAGUGAAGGUAACUAACUUCACCACUAAGUCCCUGACAAAGACCUUGGUUUCAUCCUGCCAAAAGCUGCUCAGAUACUGCACGCUGUUGCGCC
rnacentral:lncRNA from 1 species